GCCUGAUCUAUAUUAUCACAUGCCAGAUGACAUCAUAAUGACCCACCUUCCCAACUCUGAUUGUAACCCAUUAGUCAUCCCAUGCUCAGUCAUGACUGUAGGCGAUACAGACUGGACAUAAUUGUCAAGAGGAAGAAAGAAGAGAAGGAAUAGAAUCAAACCAGAGAGAAAUUUUGAAUAAUGAUUAAGCAUUUGCCAGAAAGAGAUGAAGUGACUGGCAACUGGCAUUUCAGACAGAAGGGGCACCCUGUGCAAAGACCUAGAGCAA